AGUCUUUUGCCGACCGUAAUCCGAUUGCAAUGUGUUUUCUAAUCGCAACCAGCAAGAAAAAUGAAGAGAGAUGAAUUUCUUUACUUACUCAAAUCGUUUCGCUGUUACUCCAAAGUCCGUUCGUAGUGCUUCAUCGAUCAGAUUCUUAACAAGCGUGUUGAUGUGCGACAACUUUUCGGAGUUUUGGCGCGGAUCGCGCAUGCUGCUCUGAAACGACUCGUCCAGCGUGAUCGUCAUUUUGUCUGCAAAUGUAAAGAAUGACACAAUGUGCUUCUUCCAAGAAUCGCCGCUCCUUGCCGCAUACCGAGCCCAACCCAUCGGAUGGGCCAAAAGUUGAAGAACCUAUUUUGACUGAUACUUGUGCGGUCACUUUCGCUGUACAUCCAUUGCUUCAGCCCCUCGAUUUGGGGAACACGGCACGAAAAAAGGCGUCCAAAAUCGCGUUUAAUCAAAUAUUCCGAGCACGCGACAGCAAUUUUAACCACCGGCAUCACGACGCGCUCAUUUUUCGCUCGUUUAUUAGGUGUUCUUUCUGGUGGUGGCCUGAUGCCUGGCAGUAGGAAUCGAAAGGGCAACCAAAGUAAUGUGAAACAAAGUGAGCACGAGCACGAGCAGUCCAUGCACACCGCCGUCAUACAGCCACGAGACUGGUGGCAAUGAACGAGAUAUUUCCUGUCCAGGGGAAGGUUCAUUUGCUAGCCAUAUUUGGAUGGCAGGAUUCCCUGAUGCUGGUGCUGUGAAGGUAUGGAAGUGUGCAGGCUGGCACAGCUUACGGUGUAAGAAUCGAGCCCUUGGAACCAUGAGCAAGAAGUAUGCGCAGAUGAUAAACAACUCUAUUAUGUUUUCAACGCUCUGCACUGGACCAAUUCUCUGUUCACGUAACAACGUCCGCGACAUCUAACCCAAUUCUCUCCCCUUUGCAAGUGUAGGAAUAUUGACCAAAUACUUCGCAAAGUUUUUUUUUUCUUCUAGUUAACUAAUUCAAAAAUUUCUUUGCAAGCUAACCAUUCCAUAAUCAUAAUUUGAAACAUCAAACUUAAUGUCUCAUCUCUACUAUCCUCCUGUUGCAUCACACGCCGUUGUUUGUCUGUCGAAUAAACAAUCAACAUAAAGUGCAUGAAGCAUAAACACGUGUCCGAUCAUUGGUAUGAGUGAUAAUAUCAAGUUCUGAGCCUGCUUCAUGGUGUUCCAUCUUGAGCGAAAGUAGAAGAGGGAAUGUGGCCGCUU